AUUGAACGCUGGCGGUAGGCCUAACACAUGCAAGUCGAACGAGUGGCGGACGGGUGAGUAAUGUCUGGGCACCUGCCCGAUGGAGGGGGAUGACUACUGGAACCGGUAGCUAAUACCGCAUACCAUCGGAUGUGCCCAUAUGGGAUUAGCUAGUAGGUGGGGUAACGGCUAACCUAGGCGACGAGCCCUAGCUGGUCUGAGAGGAUGACCGGCCACACGGGAACGGAGACACGGUCCAGACGCCUACGGUAGGCAGCAGUGGGGAAUAUGGGACAAUGGGCGAAAGCCUGAUGCAGCCAUGCCGCGUGUAUGAAGAAGGCCUUCGGGUUGUAAAGUACUGUCAGCGAGGAGGCGUUACUCGCAGAAGAAGCACCGGCUAACUCCGUGCCAGCAGCCGCGGUAAUUC
rnacentral:rRNA from 1 species